UGCAUUCAGGUUUAUCUUGCAUUGCUCUCCUCAGAGACAACCCAGUGGAGAGGCGGAGGGAGCACCAGCAACAAGCCUGCUGUUGGCAACCAAAGCAACACUCAUCUCAGGAAUUCUGCGAAGCCAUUUCCCUGGCAGAAGCCAUACCUAGCUCAUCGGUCCUCCUUCCAUGCCAGUCCUUGGGAUCCCUGCUUGCCUUCUGAAUUAUAUCAGGUGUGUAGGAAUCUUUCAUCAAGCUCUGGCUCUGCAGUGGGCCACCUGCAAGCAACAGCUAAUAAGGAAGCGUAUGUGGAAAUCGCCCUACUGCCCUCCAGGAACUGAGCAGGGGAGCAACACCAGCAGUUUCCAGAGCUCAAGAAAAGGCUUAUGUUGACAUCAGAUGCGUGGCUAAGAGCUGAAUAACAACUUCAUCAUGACCCAGGGGGGACCUUGUGCUUGCCAACUUAUCUGCUUUUCAUCCUUAAGUAUGAGAUACGCAUAGAAGCUGCUGCGAGUUAUCAUCUUUGUCUGCAUCCCAGUGCCCCUUUAAUCAAGUGCCCACUUGCCUCCUGUUGAAUUCUCUCAUUCAUGUAGCUUCCUAUUCAGCAGCACAGCUCCACAACAAGCACCAUCUUACCACUCCAGGCCUCCCUGAACUCCUUUUCAAUGGCAAUACUUAACAAAUAGAUCCCAGCUGUGCUUUCUCUUUUUAUCCCCUCUUGACUUCUAGCCAUUUGAGGGGGCUGUAUCUUAAUCUCUCAACCUGUACUCUUCACCUUCCCUUUUGUUGUAUCCUUUCUUUGCUAAUAAUGACUCUGAGCUCCUUGGGGAAAGAUAUCCUUCUUUUCUGUGUGACUGCACAAACCCAGGACAAUGCAGGCUUUAAUACCCAGCUAGGUCUUGCCAUGGAAUGUACUGUACAAGGAGGAGGAUCCUGUCUCAUGCUGCAAUCAGAGACAAUUAUUUCAGAGUUUCUUGGGUAUGAUGGUAACAAUAAUGGGAUGCAUGCGGAGUUCCCAGGAUUUGUUUAGAUGGUGGGAUCCCUGGAGACCUUGGAAAUAGAUUUGUGGGAAGACAUUUCUCUAAAACUUGAAGGCAAACACAGUCAGUAUUGGAAGUGGAGAUGACCUGGGACUGGAGAGAACAGCUGACACCAGAUUGCAAAUAGUGUCUGUUUGGGCAGCUCUGACCAUGGAGGACAGGGGCCAUGAUGCACCUUCACUUUUCACACCUUGAGGGAAAAAAAAAGUGAGAGAGAAAAUAAAGGAAUGGAAUAUACAUAAAAAGGGAGGUUCUAGCUUUUGCUUCCUCAGGCACCACAGUCUGGAAAAGCAGUGACUGUGGAUAGAAGAGGGAAAAGUGUGGGUUACCUGCAGUCAGAUCUCUACCCAAAGCAGUAUGGCUGCCCUGAGCCCAGGCAAUGUUGGUGGAACCAGCUUUGAGGUCAGGCAUAGGUAAGGCUCCUCACCUUGGAAGAUAUUUGCUCUCAGGUUAAAACCAAGCUGGUUGUAAUCACUGAGUGAUGUAGGGUUCAAGGAGGUUUCUGACAU